CCGCGGUUCCCCCGCCCUCUCAUGAUGUCCCGCCAUCGCCGGACGCGGGCGUCCGCAUCCUCCGCUUACCCAGCGUGCUUGCCUAGAUCUAUGUCAACAAAACCCACCUGCCUUGCUUGCGACGACCGAACCUCCCGCCUCACCCGGACGCGGGCGUCCGCAUCCUUCGCUCUCGCCCCGUGCGAUGGCUUCGCACCAGCCGCCGCCCAACCUUCGCUCUCGCCCCGUGCGAUGGCUUCACACCAGCCGCCGCCCAACCUUCGCUCUCGCCCCACCUCCCUCGGACACGGUGGUGAGGCGGGAUUGGCGUACGCGGGAGCAGUAGGCGAGAGAGAGGGAAAGGUGUGUCGUGGAGGAGGACAUGGAGGUCACCGAAUAGGAAGAAAGGGGAGUCGUGGACUCUGAUGUGGAGGGUUUCAACAUUGCUUUAGCAGACCUAGAUCCAGUUCGAGGUACCAAGCCUAUGAGCUGAUCCAUGCCAUAUAGGCCAUGCUUGGUGCCGCUGGCGCUGUCAUCCUAGAGGCCUGCAACAAGUUUGGCGCUAACUGCGACCCUUAGGCCGUUUCGUUCAAGACUGAUACUCUACUCCUGGAUGACAAUACUAAACUACUUCGGCAACAACAUUCCCAUCAACGGAUCUAUGUCUGGCUGUCAUCGCGAAGAUCAUCCUCGUCAUCGGUGCCCCAGUGGGCCCUUUAACAUCCUAGGCCUGGCCAACGACCCCUACCAAACUGCCAUCCUCAAGGUGAAGGAGAUCAAGAACGGCCGACUGGCCAUGUUCUCCAUGUUCGCCUUCUUCAUCUAAGCCUAUGUCACCGACGAAGGCCCCCGUGUAGAACCUCGCCAAGCAGAAGGUUCUUCUUGAGGGUGUUGAGACGUACAACAAGUUGCAAAACGACCAUAUUACAGCAAAAGAACGACUUUAGUAAGUUUGAUCCAUUUAUAUAUUAUGAGUUAGCUUCGAUCGACAAAAUUGUGUGCUUAUAUUUGCAGGUAAGAGCAUGGUACUAAUAUGGCAUGUUGUGUUUAGUGGAAACCUCCCUAUCUUGAGGUUUCUUCUUGAUCAUGGUGAUGAUCUCCAUGAAGAAGGCAGCCUGGAAGGUCAUGACAGGUUCACCGUUCUACAUAUAGCUACAGAGAAAGAUAUAAUGUAGACUCAUAUUUUCUAUUAUUUAUGUUGCUUAUUCUGUUAAUCAAUAAACUGCAUGCAAUUUUUUGUUUAUAACUAUUUUUAGAAAAAAACAUACUUCAUGUGCAAAACAUUGCCUGGCGAAUUUUCAUGCUUUACUUGUAUAUUUGUGGAUCAUACUAUGUUCUUGUAACUACAGUUUAAUGUCAGUGGAACACAAACACAUGAAGUUGUUCUGAUAACGAUAAUCCUUCUUGAAUAAUUCCUAUAUGUAAGUUAGCAUAGCAUGUGUGUGGGUGUUUGUUUUCUUAGUAGUGGCAAUGGUUUAUUCUUUUUUUUGCCAUCCUGUUAGUAUUUUGUAGUUCAUUAUCAAGUAUCAACCUAUCUCUUUGCUUUGUCUAAUCCGAGAUCAAGGACUUCCUUCUGACCGUGAGGAGGAAGGAUGCCCGAUCAGUGAAGGUCAAGAGGAUCAAGGAUGUUGUUAAAUUCAAGUUACCCAAAUGGUGCAUUGCCUGAUAUCAUAAUUGGACAUAAGUUUCAGAGAUAUCGUCUAAGUCUUCUGGUUGGUUUAAACUGUCACUGGCAUAAGGCCAUAACACCUCUGUUGUCUGAAUGUUUAUAUUUCAUUCACCUAUAUACUAUUUAUUGACUCAAUCAUUGUAGCAAAAAAAAUUAAUUGCAUUCGCAAAUAUGAUUUUCUUAUAUUCUCUAGCAGAUGUUUAAGGUAUGUAAACCUAAACUUUUAAAAGAUGCUAACGAGAGCAUAUAGCGAUAAAUAGUGCUUUUGUACCUCAA